AGAGUUUGAUCCUGGCUCAGGAUUAACGCUGGCGGCAUGCCUAAUACAUGCAAAUCGAACGAAGCCUUUUAGGCUUAGUGGUGAACGGGUGAGUAACACGUAUCCAAUCUACCCUUAAGUUGGGGAUAACUAGUCGAAAGAUUAGCUAAUACCGAAUAAUAACAUCAAUAUCGCAUGAGAAGAUGUAGAAAGUCGCUCUUUGUGGCGACGCUUUUGGAUGAGGGUGCGACGUAUCAGAUAGUUGGUGAGGUAAUGGCUCACCAAGUCAAUGACGCGUAGCUGUACUGAGAGGUAGAACAGCCACAAUGGGACUGAGACACGGCCCAUACUCCUACGGGAGGCAGCAGUAGGGAAUUUUUCACAAUGGGCGCAAGCCUUAUGAAGCAAUGCCGCGUGAACGAUGAAGGUCUUAUAGAUUGUAAAGUUCUUUUAUAUGGGAAGAAACGCUAAGAUAGGAAAUGAUUUUAGUUUGACUGUACCAUUUGAAUAAGUAUCGGCUAACUAUGUGCCAGCAGCCGCGGUAAUACAUAGGAUGCAAGCGUUAUCCGGAUUUACUGGGCGUAAAACGAGCGCAGGCGGGUUUGUAAGUUUGGUAUUAAAUCUAGAUGCUUAACGUCUAGCUGUAUCAAAAACUGUAAACCUAGAGUGUAGUAGGGAGUUGGGGAACUCCAUGUGGAGCGGUAAAAUGCGUAGAUAUAUGGAAGAACACCGGUGGCGAAGGCGCCAACUUGGACUAUCACUGACGCUUAGGCUCGAAAGUGUGGGGAGCAAAUAGGAUUAGAUACCCUAGUAGUCCACACCGUAAACGAUCAUCAUUAAAUGUCGGCCCGAAUGGGUCGGUGUUGUAGCUAACGCAUUAAAUGAUGUGCCUGGGUAGUACAUUCGCAAGAAUGAAACUCAAACGGAAUUGACGGGGACCCGCACAAGUGGUGGAGCAUGUUGCUUAA
rnacentral:rRNA from 1 species